rnacentral:rRNA from 1 species
CCUACGGGAGGCAGCAGUGAGGAAUAUUGGUCAAUGGGCGGAAGCCUGAACCAGCCAAGUCGCGUGAGGGAAUAAGGCCCUACGGGUCGUAAACCUCUUUUGCCGGGGAGCAAGGGCGGGGACGUGUCCCGGCCCGGAGAGUACCCGGAGAAAAAGCAUCGGCUAACUCCGUGCCAGCAGCCGCGGUAAUACGGAGGAUGCGAGCGUUAUCCGGAUUUAUUGGGUUUAAAGGGUGCGUAGGCGGGCUUUUAAGUCAGCGGUAAAGAUUCGGGGCUCAACCCCGUCCGGCCGUUGAAACUGGGGGCCUUGAGUGGGCGAGAAGAAGGCGGAAUGCGUGGUGUAGCGGUGAAAUGCAUAGAUAUCACGCAGAACCCCGAUUGCGAAGGCAGCCUGCCGGCGCCCUACUGACGCUGAGGCACGAAAGUGCGGGGAUCGAACAGGAUUAGAUACCCGAGUAGUC